ACCGACUCCAGCUUGCCUCUCCUCUCACAGUUGCCUAUCGCGGCCUCGCCUCUCUGCUCCAACCGGACAGGCGAUUGCAAUGGCCACUCCCUUAGGUAGUUAGGCUGCUUUUCUUCUUCUUCUCUUCCCUUCACUUGUUCAUAAAUCAAAACGUGCCGACCCUUUUUUCAACCCUAACUGCUUUGUUGCCAUGCCGCGUCCACCAUCUGCGCAACAGUGCGUCACUCCGGCCAUCGACCUACUCCCAGUAAAGGAGAAGUAAAGAUUGCUUGUCUAGCUUCUCCAACUCUCUUUAAAUCUACAGAAUCGAAAAGGAAAAAAGCAAAAAUGUUGAUGUCCAAAGUGAAAUAUGAGGCCUUACGCGAGCAAAGAUUGGAAGAGAACAGGAAAAGACUUCUAUAGUCCUCAAAAACUCCUCUUAUCCCAAACCCACACUAGUAUCUCUCUUUCGUGGUCUUAUUUGACUUACAAAGUACUGUGGCUCUCCUUUUAGGCCUUUUUCUAACUCUGCCAGAUGGUAAACUCCUUGCAAAUGGUUUUUAAAAAUUUCUAGCACAUUAAUUUAAUUUGUUAACAAUGUAAUUAUUGUGUAGAACAGUGUUCUUUAUUGGGUUAAUGCAUUUGUAGAGUUACCAAUUGGAUCCGGAACCUCUCGAAUCUUGCAUAUGCAUAAGAUGAAGAUAGAGAAUGUGCUAUAAAGAAAGCAGAGGAGCUUGAGUCAAGCCUAAAGUCUGAUUAUCCAUGUCGCUGGUGGUUUUUGGCUGGUGAGCAUCAGUAGAUUACUUAACUCUAUUUUUCACAGUGAACGUUGCUUCAAAUAUAUUCCCUUUGGAUUAGGCUGCAGAAGAAGAGUAUAUUAUUGAUCCAUUAUUUUGACUUGCCUAAUAAUUUCAAACAAGGUACCAUGUGUUGGGAAAACUAGACAAGUCACUUACUCUGUAUUGAAUCAUUUGGUUGAGUGUCAUCAUUUUCUUGAGAAGAUUGGUUUGUUGGAAGAAAAAGAGAUGACCACCUUCAUGAUGCUGUCCAGGUAAAUGUGUUUGUCAUUUACUUUAAUGUUCUUCAUUUUGAUGCUAUCAUUUCAUAUUUAUACUACUAAAAUUUAAACUUUGAUGUAGAGUGACUUAAAAAAGCUCUUUAAGAAACCCCCUCUGGUGAAAAUUGUGUGCUUUUUGGAUUUAAGCGCAAUCUAAAAUCUCAAAGUGUUUUGCAUAAAUUAUAUAUUAGGACUAAUUUUUUUGUGCUGAUUUUUUCUCUUCAAGUGGUUUUGGGGCUUCAUAGCUAAAGGAAAUCUGUUUUUGGUGUAAGGUUCCUUUCUCUUUCUCUUCCUAUCUCUCUAUUUGCAUCUAUUUAUAAAAUGGCCUCUAUUUCAUUUUCGACACUGCAAAUGCCCAUAAAAUGGUGCUAUUUGUUCCACUGGUGUUUUGGAAAUCUGGUGCAAACUAUCAGUUUAUUUUUGAAUUUGAAUCUUUAAGCCACUGCUUCAGCAAUAGCCACUGGUACUUUUUUUUUAAAAAACUUUAUUUAAUCUUCAAAUGUGCAGUGGAUUAUUGUUCUCAGAUAAUAUUUGGAAAAGGAGCUUGUAAAUGCACCUGCUAAUAUGCUCACCAUUGGUUAGUAAUCUUUCACACUUCUGCAUCUUUUUCCUAUAUUUGAUUUAACCAUUUUUUUUAGACUUACUACUGGAGUUGGUUACUUUAUCAAGCUUUAGUAUACAUCAUAUUAAUUAAAACCACAUCAUAGAUAAUUUAGAAUGGAAUGGACCACCCUUCUAAAUAUAUGCCAUGUACACAGAUAUGAUUACUGUUUCUAUUGGAUUUCGUAUACUAGGCAUGUCAAGUUGUGAACAAAUCCAGAAAUGAAUGAGAUGUUCUGCACUAGCUAUCAGAUUAAAAUGAUGGCAGCUUUGGCCAGACAUAUUUGAAACCUUGUGUUGGACAUCAUUUGGAUAUGCAGCUAAUCACCGGAAGGUGUUUCAAAACUUACUUAACAUGCUUCAAACUUUAUUUAUAGGGUGAUUUCUAGUCUUGCUAAAAAACUAACGUUUGGCUGGAUUUUGUGUUUAAAUUUAAUUUUCUAGAAUUUGUUAUAGUCCACAUUAAGGUUGGCACAUAAGAUCAGACUGAUGUUGUUACUAUUAUUUAUUUAUCUCUGUUGUCAAUGCAAUAGGUAAUGUUUAUGUAAGAUAUCAUUUCUUUAUUGAUCUCAUUACAUGUUUUUUUAAUGCUUAUACAGAUGCAACCAAAAAGAAAGUCGAAGCACGUGUCACCUGCUAUUCCUCCAAACUCAUGCAAUGGAAGUCCAUCUCAUUGUGGGCAAGGACAACACUCUAAUAAAUUACACAUUCCUAUGUCAACACUUUCUACAGCUCAAUUUGAUGCAAAUAGGACAACUUAAUCAAGUGUUGGAAGUUAUAAUUCAUCUUUUUGUGGUUAAAUAUUAGUCAUUUAGGGUUAUUAAUAAUUGAAAUAUGUGCGAUACAAUUUUACUUCUAUGGUGAUACGUUUCUUUUCAAAUUUUUUUUUUUUAUUAUC
rnacentral:lncRNA from 1 species